CUACGGGGGGCUGCAGUGGGGAAUAUUGCACAAUGGGGGAAACCCUGAUGCAGCAACGCCGCGUGGAGGAUGACACAUUUCGGUGCGUAAACUCCUUUUAUAUAGGAAGAUAAUGACGGUACUAUAUGAAUAAGCACCGGCUAACUCCGUGCCAGCAGCCGCGGUAAUACGGAGGGUGCAAGCGUUACUCGGAAUUACUGGGCGUAAAGAGCGUGUAGGCGGGUUUGUAAGUUGGAUGUGAAAUCCUAUGGCUCAACCAUAGAACUGCAUCCAAAACUACUUACCUAGAGUGUGGGAGAGGUAGAUGGAAUUUCUGGUGUAGGGGUAAAAUCCGUAGAGAUCAGAAGGAAUACCGAUUGCGAAGGCGAUCUACUGGAACAUAACUGACGCUGAGACGCGAAAGCGUGGGGAGCAAACAGGAUUAGAUACCCGUGUAGUC
rnacentral:rRNA from 1 species